AGAGUUUGAUCCUGGCUCAGAAUCAACGCUGGCGGCGUGCCUAACACAUGCAAGUCGAGCGAGAAAAGGGGGGCAACUCCCUGAGUACAGCGGCGCACGGGUGAGUAACGCGUGGGUAAUCUGCCCUGGAGUGGGGAAUAACACCGGGAAACCGGUGCUAAUACCGCAUACGAUAGCGAGGUCUGCGGACUUUGUUAUGAAAGGAGCAAUUCGCUCCAGGAGGAGCCCGCGGCUGAUUAGCUAGUUGGUGAGGUAAUGGCUCACCAAGGCUACGAUCAGUAUCCGGUCUGAGAGGACGGUCGGACACACUGGAACUGAGACACGGUCCAGACUCCUACGGGAGGCAGCAGUGGGGAAUUUUUCGCAAUGGGGGCAACCCUGACGAAGCAACGCCGCGUGGGUGAUGAAGUCUCUUGGGACGUAAAACCCUUUCGACGGGGAAGAAACCGCAAGGUUGACGGUACCCGUAGAAGAAGCCCCGGCUAACUCCGUGCCAGCAG
rnacentral:rRNA from 1 species